AUUGAACGCUGGCGGCAGGCUUAACACAUGCAAGUCGAGCGGGGAGAUGUAGCUUGCUACAUAUCCUAGCGGCGGACGGGUGAGUAAUGCUUAGGAAUCUGCCUAUUAGUGGGGGACAACAUUCCGAAAGGAAUGCUAAUACCGCAUACGCCCUACGGGGGAAAGCAGGGGAUCUUCGGACCUUGCGCUAAUAGAUGAGCCUAAGUCGGAUUAGCUAGUUGGUGGGGUAAAGGCCUACCAAGGCGACGAUCUGUAGCGGGUCUGAGAGGAUGAUCCGCCACACUGGGACUGAGACACGGCCCAGACUCCUACGGGAGGCAGCAGUGGGGAAUAUUGGACAAUGGGCGCAAGCCUGAUCCAGCCAUGCCGCGUGUGUGAAGAAGGCCUUUUGGUUGUAAAGCACUUUAAGCGAGGAGGAGGCUCCUUUAGUUAAUACCUAAAGAGAGUGGACGUUACUCGCAGAAUAAGCACCGGCUAACUCUGU
rnacentral:rRNA from 1 species